rnacentral:rRNA from 1 species
UACAGAGGGGGCAAGCGUUGUUCGGAAUUACUGGGCGUAAAGGGCGCGUAGGCGGCCUUCUAAGUCGAACGUGAAAUCCCCGGGCUCAACCCGGGAACUGCGUCCGAGACUGAAAGGCUUGAAUCCGGGAGAGGGAUGUGGAAUUCCAGGUGUAGCGGUGAAAUGCGUAGAUAUCUGGAGGAACAUCGGUGGCGAAGGCGGCAUCCUGGACCGGUAUUGACGCUGAGGCGUGAAAGCCAGGGGAGCAAACGGG